UGGGGAAUUUUGGACAAUGGGCGCAAGCCUGAUCCAGCCAUGCCGCGUGGGUGAAGAAGGCCUUCGGGUUGUAAAGCCCUUCGGCCGGGAAGAAAACGUGCGGGCGAACAGUCUGCAUGGAUGACGGUACCGGAAGAAGAAGCACCGGCUAACUACGUGCCAGCAGCCGCGGUAAUACGUAGGGAGCAAGCGUUGUUCGGAUUUACUGGGCGUAAAGGGCGCGUAGGCGGCGCGGUAAGUCACUUGUGAAAUCUCUGAGCUUAACUCAGAACGGCCAAGUGAUACUGCUGUGCUAGAGUGCGGAAGAGGCAACCGGAAUUCUUGGUGUAGCGGUGAAAUGCGUAGAUAUCAAGAGGAACACCUGAGGCGAAGGCGGGUUGCUGGGCCGACACUGACGCUGAUGCGCGAAAGCCAGGGGAGCAAACG
rnacentral:rRNA from 1 species